rnacentral:lncRNA from 1 species
GACUUCCUAGUUCUUUCUUUGGAUGUGGACAGCAUUUUCCAUCACGAGGCCUCUGGAGAUGUCUUAGAUCCUCGUAAUGCUGAGAAGGGUUCACUUUAACAAUCUUAGUCAUCGCAUAACGUGGCUGUUAUUGUGUACAAAGUCCUCUUGGUUCUGCUCACUUCGCUCAGCAUCAGACCAUAUAAGUCUUUCCAGGUUUUUCUGAAGUCUGCCUGUUCAUCAUUUCUUAUAGCACAAUAGUAUUCUAUUACAUUUCUAUACCACAACUUGCUCAGCCAUUCGCCAAUUGAUGGGCAUUCUCUCAAUUUCCAAUUCUUUGAUGCAUUUGUCUUGUAACAGUAUCCACCCUAACACCUGGUGAUCAGGCAGGCACUUCACUGGGCCUGUUCUUGGCUACGCCAAGCCUGAAGCUCUGCCCACGAUGGGAUGGACUCCAGCAAGCCCCACCUCUGGACUCGCCUUUGGCCACCCCCCCAACCCCACCCCCCCGCUCCUUCCACAGCCCGCGAGUGCCAUCUUGUGUCGGAACCUCGCUGCGGACAGUCCCACGAACUUCAUUUCCCAGCAUCCUCCUGCUGUUGGGGAAGGUGCAGGCGCAGGCGCAAAGGACACCUGCCUCGUUACCAUAGCAGCCCCGCUGAAGUGCUGGGGAGCAAGCGUUUGGCCGAGGCCGGGCCAGGGCAGCGGGGCCUUCGAGGGGAGGUCGAGUCACGAGCGAGCGAGAGAACAGCCGGCCAGGCUCUCCUCAGAGGCCGGGGAGAAGGAGCCGGAGGCGGCGGCGGCGCAUCCCCGAGCCCACCCGAGGGUCCCUUCCGGGGAUGAGAGGAGACUGUGAAUCGACCGUGCAGUGGAAAGAGCCCUGUCUCUGGAGGCGGAUGCUGGGUUCACAUUUUGACUCUAACGUGUACUGCUGGUAUGACUUUAGGUGAGUUGCUGCAUCUUCUCAGGCCUCAGUUUCCUCUUCUGUAAAAGGGUGUUGGACUUGAUGACCUCUAAGGGCCCUUCCAGCUCUUGGUCUGUGAUGUCACAGCCUGGUAGAUUUCAAGUUCUAGCGAGUUGGAAAUGUGUGUCAUCUGGGACCGGCCCAGCAGAGCAUCCUGUCACAGUAUGGCCCCAGCAAUUGGUGGAAGUACCUUGCCUAGUUCUCAGAGAUCUGUCAUCCUCCUAGAGGGAGGGGUCCAGAUGGGGCAGGACUCACCCUCACUGUGAACGAUGACUUCUAUUUUUUUCAAUAUGUUUCAUCAGGGCAUCAGGUACUUCUCCCCCUUCCCCCAUCCCAUGGCACAGUCAGGUACAGCAGCUGUAAUGCACGUACAUGCACACACCCGCGUACGCACAUAUACACAUAAAGAGAGAGACUGCAUCUCAGGUGAGAGAAGGAAGUGGGUUCCACCCUCAAGGUUGGGUAGAACCAGCUGUGGUCACUGGAAAGCUCCCCUUGGUCCGGGGCAGGCAGGCCGUGCAAGUGGGAG